rnacentral:rRNA from 1 species
GACGAACGCUGGCGGUGUGCUUAACACAUGCAAGUCGAACGGUAAGGCCCUUUCUGGGGUACACGAGUGGCGAACGGGUGAGUAACACGUGAGUAACCUGCCCUCAUCUCUGGGAUAACAGUCGGAAACGGUUGCUAAUACUGGAUAUGAGCUUGCAAGGCAUCUUGUGGGUUGGAAAGAUUUUUUUUGGUUGGGUAUGGAUUCGCGGCCUUUCAGCUUGUUUGUGGGGUAGUGGCUCACCAAGGCUUCGACGGGUAGCCGGCCUGAGAGGGCGACCGGCCACAUUGGGACUGAGAGACGGCCCAAACUCCUACGGGAGGCAGCAGUGGGGAAUAUUGCACAAUGGACGGAAGUCUGAGGCAGCAACGCCGCGUGCGGGAUGACGGCCUUCGGGUUGUAAAACGCUUUCAAUUGUGACGAAGCUUUUUUGUGACGGUAGCAGUAGAAGAAGCACCGGCUAACUACGUG